CGAGCACGGAAUUGCUGAAGUUGUGAAGGUUGAUGCUGUGAAUGCGCUCGGUCAUCCCCUUGCAACUGAUGUCACCUGCAGCAUGUCAACGCAGACACAAAACAGGGCAUGGGUCAGAUCUAGCUGGUUGCAUUCCUAACACCUAGGUUUCAGAGUAAAAAUACAGAGUCAGCUUGUGAUGGCAUUCCCUCAAAACAUGGAAGGAAUUGCAGUAAUGAAAGUCAUCAUGUAUUCUAAGAGACUGUUCUGCGAGAGCACAACACAGACGGGGCUAAAGCAGGGAUUGUCUAAGCCCAGUGUGGAGGAACCAUCAAGGAUUUCAGCACGUUUUUUUAGCCAUUGUGAGAAGCAAAAGUGCUCAGGAGUUAAGAGAAGCAGACGUCCGAAAUUAUCUCCAUGCAUUACCAAAAACCGUGGGCACCACGGCACGGGGAAAACUUACCAGGUACAAUGAGCCAGUGACUGUUACUGAAUUUCUUAAGAUUACACUUUUCCCAACUACUGCAGACUGCUUCAGAAUAGAAGAAGACAACUCUCAUGCCAUCAAGCCGACGGACUUUCAAAAAAAUAAAAGAUGCAUUUCUUUACUUGGCCCAUGAGAAGUAAAAGCAGGCACUGGCAUUCUGCACAGAUGAAAUACUUCCUACGACAGGAAUACAUGCUCACUUGUGGACUUCUCUGUAAUCUGUAGGCAACAUCAGCUCCUGAUUUCUAGGUCUGGAUCUGGGUUCUCUGUAGCACAGGAAGCAUAGUUACUCUGUGAUGAAGAAAAACUCAGAAAACUAUCCAGAUGUGGGAAUUUCUCGGGUAUUCCUUGCACUUGAACUUAAGGAUGAAUGAAGGUAUAUACAAGUCUCUACUUCUCCUACAUAAAUGCCUUGCAUGGCGGGAACUAAAUCAACUACACAGACCCAUACAUCCAGAGAGCAGAGGUGAGCUGGAUACAAGUGGCUUAGAGAUGUGGUGGAAGGAGGCCAGAGCUCCAAGGGAAGGGCAGCAAGGAGACAACAGCAUGGGUUGCAGCUCAGACAACAGGUAAAUAAAACCAAGCAAAGCUGCUGGUCACAGAUUUGACCAGGGUGGCAAGAAAUGACAAGCUACCAUGAGAUUCAACAGUGGCACGGAAGGAUGAUGAGAAGCAAACAGAUUAGGAGAAGCUGCCACCACCGUACAUAGAGGCACAGAUGACCAAGCAGAACAGCACCAGUCCCUGCAAGGUGUGCUCAGAUACAGCUCAGCACAGCCAUCUGGCCAGGAGGGAAUGAUAAUGCACAUGGUGUGCACUGCAGCCGGGAAGUUGAGAACCGCUGUGGGCACCUCAGGACUGAGUCUGGUUACCCUGCUGAUCCAAGAAAUGAAGCCAUCUAAAAUUUUGCCUGCUUUCACAAUUUUCUGUGUGUGUGUGUGUGUAUUAAACAAAGUGAACUAAGAAGCCUUUUAUUGGAGACAUAAUGUACUCACAGUAGUUUCAAAAUCAAUGGUGUCACUCUUCAGGUAAAUUACUCCAAGGCUUGGGCCUAGUGCAGAUGUUCAUUGGGGCAGGGAGCAGAGAGCGGCUGCAUCUAGAUCAGACAAAAAACAAAAAUAAGGUUGUUAAAUGAACAGGUGAUGGUGAUGGCAAU
rnacentral:lncRNA from 1 species